GGGAUGGAAGCUCAACGGUAGAGCGGCUGAAGCAUGCGAUAACACGCCAGACGGUAGCCGGUUCGACUCCGGCCCAUCCCU
rnacentral:tRNA from 1 species